rnacentral:rRNA from 1 species
GAGUGGCGGACGGGUGCGUAACGCGUAGGAAUCUGCCUAUUAGUGGGGGACAACUUAGGGAAACUUAAGCUAAUACCGCAUACGCCCUACGGGGGAAAGGAGGGGACCUUCGGGCCUUUCGCUAAUAGAUGAGCCUGCGUUGGAUUAGCUAGUUGGUGGGGUAAAGGCCUACCAAGGCGACGAUCCAUAGCUGGUCUGAGAGGACGAUCAGCCACACUGGGACUGAGACACGGCCCAGACUCCUACGGGAGGCAGCAGUGGGGAAUAUUGGACAAUGGGCGAAAGCCUGAUCCAGCAAUACCGCGUGUGUGAAGAAGGCCUUAGGGUUGUAAAGCACUUUCAAUUGGAAGGAAAAACUCAUGGCCAAUACCCAUGAGCUUGACAUUACCUUUAGAAGAAGCACCGGCUAACUCCGUGCCAGCAGCCGCGGUAAUACGGAGGGUGCGAGCGUUAAUCGGAAUUACUGGGCGUAAAGCGUGCGUAGGCGGCUCGUUAAGUCAGAUGUGAAAGCCCUGGGCUCAACCUGGGAACGGCAUUUGAAACUGGCGAGCUAGAGUUUGGGAGAGGAGAGUGGAAUUUCAGGUGUAGCGGUGAAAUGCGUAGAGAUCUGAAGGAACACCAGUGGCGAAGGCGACUCUCUGGCCUAAAACUGACGCUGAGGUACGAAAGCGUGGGUAGCAAACAGGAUUAGAUACCCUGGUAGUCCACGCCGUAAACGAUGUCAACUAGCCGUUGGCUCUCUUAGAGAGUUAGUGGCGCAGCUAACGCAUUAAGUUGACCGCCUGGGGAGUACGGCCGCAAGGUUAAAACUCAAAUGAAUUGACGGGGCCCGCACAAGCG